rnacentral:rRNA from 1 species
ACUCCUACGGGAGGCAGCAGUGGGGAANAUUUGCACAAUGGGCGCAAGCCUGAUGCAGCCAUGCCGCGUGUAUGAAGAAGGCCUUCGGGUUGUAAAGUACUUUCAGCAGUGAGGAAGGUAGUGUAGUUAAUAGCUGCAUUAUUUGACGUUAGCUGCAGAAGAAGCACCGGCUAACUCCGUGCCAGCAGCCGCGGUAAUACGGAGGGUGCGAGCGUUAAUCGGAAUUACUGGGGCGUAAAGCGCAUGCAGGUGGUUUGUUAAGUCAGAUGUGAAAGCCCGGGGCUCAACCUCGGAAUUGCAUUUGAAACUGGCAGACUAGAGUACUGUAGA